rnacentral:tRNA from 1 species
GGCUGGGUGGCAGAGUGGUUAUGCAGAGGACUGCAAAUCCUUAUACGUCGGUUCGAUUCCGGUUCCAGCCUCCA